GCACAACGCGAAGAACCUUACCCACCUUUGACAUGUACGGAAUCCUUUAGAGAUAGAGGAGUGCUCGAAAGAGAGCCGUAACACAGGUGCUGCAUGGCUGUCGUCAGCUCGUGUCGUGAGAUGUUGGGUUAAGUCCCGCAACGAGCGCAACCCUUGCCAUUAGUUGCUACGAAAGGGCACUCUAAUGGGACUGCCGGCGACAAACCGGAGGAAGGUGGGGAUGACGUCAAGUCCUCAUGGCCCUUAUAGGUGGGGCUACACACGUCAUACAAUGGCUGGUACAAAGGGUUGCCAACCCGCGAGGGGAGCUAAUCCCAUAAAGCCAGUCGUAGUCCGGAUCGCAGUCUGCAACUCGACUGCGUGAAGUCGGAGUCGCUAGUAAUCGCGAAUCAGAAUGUCGCGGUGAAUACGUUCCCGGGUCUUGUACACACCG
rnacentral:rRNA from 1 species